UCUUCUUUAACUUGACUGCUAAGCUAUAAACACUUAAAUCCAUGAUGGUGUUGCUCUUUAAUAGCUUCAUCUAAAUAUCUGGAUUAUCAACCUUACUCUUCAGCACUUGCAGAGCUUGUUGUUCUGGUUUCAUUUACAAGAAAAGAAAAACAUAAAAGGAGUUACGACUGUCCUCACACAAACAGCAGCAGCAGACUUACAAAGGAUGAAGAUGUUUGGAAGAAUGAUGAGCUGCUGUGUGGCUCUCCUCCUGACCUUCAGCUCUGUGUCAGCUGUAAGAAAGCUCAACUCAAUCACUCAUCUGAGGUCAGUAGGCUCUGACAUAUCUGCCCAAGAGGACUGCCUCCGGUUCCUCCACUGGUUUGCCAACACAGUUGACAUCAACACAAACGAUGACAUACGUCUGACCUUUGGCCCAAACCUUCGUGAUUAUGGCUCACAUCAAUAUCGCAACGAUGAACAGCUGUUAGAGCCACUGCCGAGGGGAUAUCAGUACUACAGUCUUGGUAAUAUCCAUGGAGAGGGAUCAUUGCAACUUCCACCUCAGGUCAUCCAUUCGGAGCAAGAUGACCGUAACAGGGCUCGGAUCAUAAUCAGAGUCAGGGAGCAGAAUGUGGGACGGCGAACUUCACGGAUAAUAGACCGAGUCUAUAUCACACAGCAUUAUGAGGCAGCUGAACGUCGAGGGAGCGCGUAUGAUCCAGAACAUACAUAUGGGAUCACUACUAGCCUCUUAAGAGCGAUCAGGAGGUUUUCCAUGGACAGAGAUGACAUCAAUUUACUGAUGUCUCUCAGAAACCGCUAUAGAAGCGAUGCUGAUGACUCCCAGCUAUCAGAGAUAAGAAACGAGUGGGGUGACCUCGCUUGUCUUGGACUGUUGGUGUUUAUUGUGAUACAACACACGUCAGCAUGAUGUGCUCCGUAGCUCACAGAGUCAUCAAAACGAUGCUUUUGCCUUUUCAGAAAGGUACUCGAAUUUGGAGGACAAAACCUGUGUUUAUUGUUUCAUCUGUCUUGUUGUGCUUCUUGCUUCAGUCUUUUUUGGUCUUGUGUAUCUGUCAUACUCAUCUAAAUAUUAAAUCAACUAAACUCAAUGUCAAUGUAACUGGGCCAUAAAUUACAUAUUGUUACAAUUACACAAAAUGUGUUGUAGACCACAAAUUUUAUUUGCCAGUUUAUACCUGACUUUUAGGACCUUCAAGCCUGUAGUUAUGUUCUUUAUCAGUUAGAGCCCCUCCUCAUUGUUCUUCUUCUUUGGUGCAACCCUAGAAAUACAGUGUACCCCUUUGGCCUCUCCCGUUUUCUACAAUUCGCCUGUGAGAAAGGUUGGUGUCAUUUCUUUCCAGACACUGUACAACACACAUAUAAUGUAUAUUUAUCCACCCUGAUGUUUCUGAUUGUGAUUUUAGUUCAAUUAUUGUCAUCAUUGUGCCUGUUUUUGUUAGAUGCUAUAAAUGUCUAGUAUAUGUGUGCCACAAAUGUGUUUUAGGCGCCGUUAACACUAGCAUGAAUAUAUAAUUCUGGCUAGCUUGUGUGGAAAAUACAUUAUUAGAUAAGAGGGCUUUUAUUAGUAACAUGUUAAUCUAGAAGCUAUUGAACGCGCAGAGCCUUAAAAAAGCAUUUUGCUUGUAACUUGUAGACGUGCCUGCUUAGCUACAGUUAAGUACAGGAUGUGCUCCGGUCGGGUAUGAAAAGAAUAGAACGACAGGAAAUAUCUGCAGUCUAAGACGACUGAAAAUAAUUCUUUAAUACAUACAGAUAUAGGAAGUGUCUAAAGGUCACUAACUGUAAUAGACGUAUGAUAUGAUAUGAUAUGAUAUGAUAUGAUAUGAUAUGAUAUGACAUGAUAUGUUUUUUGCUUACGCAUUAAGAGGCUGAACCUGAUAUACAAAAACAGUCUGAUGUGUUUUUUAGUUGAGAUCUAUGCAGACGGUGACGUUGUGUACUUCUCCCACACGUGUGUUUAAUACAUCAGUUUUUUGACUCUA